rnacentral:lncRNA from 1 species
AAUAAUUCUACGAGUUUGGUGUUACCCUGACAAUGAGAACCUUCUGGAGCAACAGGAAAAGCCUUGUAGACUGAAGGAGAAGUAUUCUUUUGUGGAAAGAAGAAGUAGUCAACGUUGAGUGGAAAGCAUCUAGGGCAUGCCUUAGUGAGGAGUUUGUUUCUAGAAUCUGAGGCAGCAUGGGAAAGUGAACAUCUUAGAAGUAGCAGGAAGAGAGGAUGGCAUGUGGGUAGAAAAGCUAGACAAAUUUUACAGACGAAGACAAGCACAACUUUAUUUUAAAAUGUGGCCCUCAAAAUUUUGAUAAGUACCCUUCACAGAUUAGUUUUAAUAAGAAAAUGAUUUCUUCUAUAGGGAAAGUAAAAUGAUAGAAAACAUUAAUUUAGAAAUUUUCU